GGAAGAAAACCUUGUCCCUCCUGCUGAGAAGGGCCUUCUCCUCUCCUGGGAAGGAUGUCCUCCUUACUCUGGCCUUUGGUGGGUGCAGCGUCUCCGCACACGGCACCCCCAGCCCAAGCAAGAGCAUCGGCCAAGCUGGUUCACACCAGGAACUGGGGUUUGAAGAGCCGGAAGCAAGGCCUCUGCAGGAAACACCCAGCAAGCAAGAGAAGCCAGACUACGCACAAGGGAAAGGAGUUUUGGUAAUGUAGUAAUGAGAGUGAACGAAAAAUCAAAAAGGAGAAACCAAGAUACAUGAAGGCUGGAAUCUUGAAGAAGUGCUUUACAGAGGGAACAAAUCCAGGGUAGAAGGGACAUGAGAAAGCCAGUAAGGGCAUCUGAACAUGUUCGUUACAGCUCUCUGCUCUAUCAUGGGAGGCAGUCUGAAACAGAAGGCUGGAGCAGUUAACCCCACAAGGACAGCAAUGAUGUUCUGUAGGGGAAGCCUGAGAGGCUAUGGUGUGGAGGCCGACCAAGCGUGGGAAUCUAAAAUCGGCAGGAAAGGGUGGGGGUCUCUCUGCAGGGCCCACCACUUACCAGUCGGCCUUCCAAGCAGUCGACGGCGGCCCCCCGGGCCAGCAGGUACCGCACGCAGUCCGGGUGUCCCAUGGAGGCAGCCUCGUGCAGAGAGAGCCCGCUUGUAGUCCUGGUGGACGGCUUCGAUGUCCAGGUCCCAGAUAGGCCAAGAUGUCCCAGCGGCUGUGGCGCGUAAAGUGUGCAGGAGGGUAUCUCCGGCAGACCCCGCGCAGCCCGCGCGCCCAGCCGCGUGCAGCUCCUCUCAUCCAGCACCAACCAGCACAGCCGCCGCGGAACCCGGAGCGCGGUCAUGGCCACGGGCUCGAGUCCUGCGGGAACGCUUGGCGACCCUCCCCCGGACCCGCCCCGCGAUCCUCC
ensembl:lncRNA